GCCGGGUGUGGUGGUGCAUGCCUGUGGUCCCAGCUACUAGGGAGGCUGAAGUGGGAGGGUUGCUUGAGCCCAGGAGAUCGAGGCUGCAGUGAGCCAUAAUCAUGCCACUGUACUCCAGCCUGGGCAACAGAGCAAGACCCUGCCUCAA
ensembl:misc_RNA Metazoa_SRP Metazoan signal recognition particle RNA